CCUACGGGUGGCAGCAGUGAGGAAUAUUGGUCAAUGGGCGCGAGCCUGAACCAGCCAAGUAGCGUGAAGGAUGACUGCCCUACGGGUUGUAAACUUCUUUUAUAGAGGAAUAACGUGAUGCACGCGUGCCUUUUUGUAUGUACUUUAUGAAUAAGGCACGGCCAACCUCGUGCCAGCAGCCGCGGUAAUACGGAGGAUUCGAGCGGUAUCCGGAUUUAUUGGGGUUAAAGGGUGCGUAGGCGGAAUAUCAAGUCAGCGGUAAAAAUUCGGGGCUCAACCCCGUCGUGCCGUUGAAACUGAUGUUCUUGAGUGGGCGAGAAGUAUGCGGAAUGCGUGGUGUAGCGGUGAAAUGCAUAGAUAUCACGCAGAACUCCGAUUGCGAAGGCAGCAUACCGGCGCCCAACUGACGCUGAGGCACGAAAGCGUGGGUAUCGAACAGGAUUAGAUACCCCAGUAGUC
rnacentral:rRNA from 1 species